rnacentral:rRNA from 1 species
UACGUAGGGUGCAAGCGUUAAUCGGAAUUACUGGGCGUAAAGCGUGCGCAGGCGGUUAUGUAAGACAGAUGUGAAAUGCCCGGGCUUAACCUGGGAACUGCAUUUUGUGACUGCAUGGCUAGAGUUUGGCAGAGGGGGGUAGAAUUCCACGUGUAGCAGUGAAAUGCGUAGAUAUGUGGAGGAACACCGAUGGCGAAGGCAGCCCCCUGGGUCAAGACUGACGCUCAUGCACGAAAGCGUGGGGAGCAAACAGG